AAAAACUAAUUAUUAUCGUCUUCGGAGGUGUGGCAAUGCAGCCGGCAGUUGCGGUUGAUGCCAAACGUCACUACGUCACCACCGGUCGGUAGCCCGCGCAAAAAGUUCACGUGAUCGCGAGCAUUUCUCUAGAAAAAAAUCUACGUUGUUUUAUCCGAUUACUCGAUACAAUAUUAAAUUGGCGGAUGGUAGAUCUAUAUUUUGGAAGAAAACUCAACCAGUAUCAAAUUUUGGAACACAUACAUAAUAAUAUGUCGGCAACAUCAACAUCAACGGUAAUGCGAAAAACAUAUCCAUCGACAGACUGAAACCUGUAUUCCUACCACAAGAAGACACAAUUCAACAUGACCACUCCUACGCAGUGAAGGCGAAACUUAAUAAAUCAGUUGUAAAGUGACGCCCGAGUGUUAUGGUCAUAUCACACAUUUCCUGUCAUAUUUAGCCAAUGGUAAAGUCAAACUACCUUUAGAAGGAGGUAACAAUAUAGAUGCGGUUUCAUAUUGUAUGACGAAAACAUUAUUUGAAGAUCCUGUAGCGUACCAUGACUCUACGGACUAAUAUUAUAUUAUAAUCCUUUAAUUGAUUCUACAGACCACUAACUGGACCACUCUAAAUUUACCUAUUAACUAAAAUAUAAUUCAUUUAAGUAACAUUUGACAUUCAAAUAUACUAAUUGAACCACUAAUGGUAAUAAUGGACUAUACGUUUAUAAAUACCUUGCACAAUGUAUAAACUAUUAUCUCAUUCAUAGGUAACAUUUUGGCAAACCAGUUGCCCUUCUAAUAAUAUUUCAUCUCUACGAAAACAACUACUCAAAAAUGACCUCACCCAAAGACACCUGCAAAAUCCACGUGCGAAAAAUUGAAUAUAGGUAGGCCAGGAACAAUGCAUAUUCAAAUGUACCAUAGCCGUUCUCAGCCACAUAGA
rnacentral:lncRNA from 1 species